rnacentral:lncRNA from 1 species
UACCAGACCUGACUUAGCCUUUGCAGUCCAGCAUUUAAGUCAGUUCCUCUAGAAGCCUACAUCCUCUCAUAUGCUUGCUGCUUUGCAUACCCUAAAGUAUCUCAGAGGAACCUCUAACCUUGGCAUCUUUCUCAGCAACUCUCCUGACCUCUCCUUAUCUGCUUACUGUGAUAUUGACUGGGCAUCCUGCCCAGACACCAGAAGAUCUGUAUCUGGUUUUUGUGUUCUACUAGGUGACUCUCUUAUUGGUUGGAAGGCUAAGAAGCAGCCUGUAGUGUCCCUCUCUUCUGCUGAGGCUGAGUAUAGAACCAUCAGCAAGGUUGUGGGUGAGCUCACCUGGCUCAUUCGUUUACUGUAUGAUUUUGGUGUUGAUGUUACCUCUCCUGUCCCAGUUUAUUGUGAUAAUCAGGUAGCCCUUCACAUUGCCAACAAUCAUGUGUUUCAUGAACGGACCAAACACAUUGAGGUGGAUUGUCAUUUCAUCAGAGGCAAGCUUCAUGAAGGGCUUAUUACCUAGCACCAUGUCCCCACAACUUCUCAGCCUGCUGAUAUAUUUAAGUCAUUUCAUCAGAGACAAGCUUCAUGAAGGGCUUAUUACCUUGCACCAUAGCCCCAUAACUUCUCAGUCUGCUGAUGUAUUUACCAAGCCCCUUACUGGCAUUUUGCAUCACUCUAUCUUGCUCAAGUUGGGAGUUCAGUCACCCUCCAACUUGCAGGGGGGUGUUGGAGUUGUUGG